rfam:Lentinula edodes NBRC 111202 DNA, contig: scaffold1038.
GGCCGGCUAGCUCAGUUGGUUAGAGCGUCGUGCUAAUAUAUGUUACGCGAAGGUCUUGGGUUCGAUCCCCACGUUGGCCA